GGAGCGACCAAGCCAAAAUUGGUUCUCUCGGCUCGGUUUUUUCCCAUAUAGGGGCUAAAUCUUUUGUGUACGCAUGCGUCUUGUCCAGGCUGCGGUUGGCAGAUGAUCCUAGCCGUCAUUGGAAGAACCAAUGGAGAUCCCUCCUCCGGUUUCUAACCAGACAACUCUCCUUAGUUCUGGGGCUGCCUCUGCUUCUGACAGAGCACCUGGAAGAAAUUAUCACCUGAAAACCCCACCUCAGACACCAUGAAGAGCCCACCCCGCAGGCUAACCACCUUCUCUCCUGCUGAGGGGAAGCUCUGCCUCUCACUGUGGCAGCGUCCUUUCUUCCCUCCUCAGCCGACGGACCGCACCAAAGAAACCAGAACCCAAGCCGAAGUAUCAGAAACGUGUAUUCUUUUUCUUUUAAUAGUAAACCUCUUUACAACAAAUAUAGUGAAAGAGUUUUCAAACAAAACUCAUAAGAAUCUCGAGGACUUAGUCUUUUCUUAUUGUGUAGAAUACUAAGAAAGCAUCACCAUACAGCACGAAAAGAAAUAUUGAAAACAAAUCAACAGCCACACACUUGGACUCGCCCUGCCCAGGACCCAGGAGGAGCCCCAGGAGUGUGGGUGAUUGUCGGGUUUGGGGGUGGGGCACCUCCAUGGCCUGUCCCCCUCCCUCCCCCACCCCCGGACCUGAAUGGGGAAGACAGAGAGAAUCCAGAUUCUCCAUAUAACAUUCCAGCCCCCUCCCCCCAUACAAAUCCCAUUCCUUCUACAACUGCUUAGGGGGUAGAGAGGUGGCAGAGGGGAGGACAGAGUUCCCAGGCUCCGUGUCUCCUCCCCUCCAUGAAAGCCUAAAUUCACCCCCCAUCCCACCCCAGGGGAUUCCAAAGAGUCAGUUAAAAAUAUAUAGAUAUAGAUAUUUCUAGAUACACUUUUACAUCAUUUCUGUCUCUCCAAACAAAUAAAUAAUCAGCAAGAGAAGGUGCAUUACUUCCUUCCUGUCCAAGGUGGGGAUGGCUGGGUAAGGGUCAGGGGUCAGUCUCGCUGCAUUGAGUGCACUGCUGGGGGGAGGGGAAAUGGUGUGUUCCAUUGUGGGGGGGGUCCUCUUGCCCACUGUCCCUGAAAGCUGUGGGAAACCUGGGAAGGGAGGGGCAUUGGAUGACUCCAGUGAUUACUUUGGCAAAUGCCCAGUUCUUCGGAGGAAGGAGUGGGUGGAGGCAAAUUUGGCUUGUGAGAGGAAGAAGAAAUGAAGUCCCCACUUGAGGUCCGGGUUCCCAGGGACCCACUCAUUUGGCCGGCCAGGAGCCCCUACCCCCAAGAGGAACCUUGGGAUAGUGACUUGCAAAAAUGUCACAUAUUCAUUCACAGACCACCCCUGCCCCCAGGGAUAGAGAAGAAAAGACAAACACAUCCACACAUGGUAAUCUAAAGCCAGGUUUGCCGGUACAUGGCAGAGGGCAAAACUGGUGAAUAUUGCACCGUGAACCGCAGGGGCCCUCACCCCCGCCCCAUGUUUAAUGGUGGCCAAGCCCAGCCUACACAGGUGGGCAGACUGACAUCGGGAAUAGCCUGAGAAGGGAAGGCCA